rnacentral:rRNA from 1 species
UAGGGAAUAUUAGUAAUGGGCGAAAGCCUGAACUAGCAACACCGCGUGUGCGAAGAAGGCCUUCGGGUUGUAAAGCACUUUUUGAGAGGAUGAGGAAGGACGGUACUCUCAGAAUAAGUCUCGGCUAACUACGUGCCAGCAGCCGCGGUAACACGUAGGAGGCAAACGUUAUCCGGAUUUACUGGGCGUAAAGCGCGUGUAGGUGGUUUGGUAAGUAGAGCGUGAAAGCUCCUGGCUCAACUGGGAGAGGUCGUUCUAAACUGCCGGACUAGAGGAUGGUAGAGGGAGGUGGAAUUCCGGGUGUAGCGGUGGAAUGCGCAGAUAUCCGGAGGAACACCAGUGGCGAAAGCGGCCUCCUCGACCACGUCUGACACUCAGACGCGAUAGCUAGGGUAGCAAACG